rnacentral:rRNA from 1 species
UACCUGCAGCUCGAGUGGUAACCGCUAUUAUUGGGCCUAAGGCGUCCGUAGCCGGUUUGGUAAAUAUCUGGGUAAAUCGUGAGGCUUAACUUCACGAAUUUCGGAUAGACUGCCAGACUUGGGAUCGGGGGAGGUCAGAGGUACUCCAGGGGUAGCGGUGAAAUGUUGUAAUCCUUGGAGGACCACCGGUAGCGAAGGCGUCUGACUAGAACGAGUCCGACGGUGAGGGACGAAGCCCUGGGGCGCAAACCGGAUUAGAUACCCGGGUAGUCCAGGGUGUAAACGAUGUGGGCUUUGUAUUGGAGGUCCCACGUGGGCGUCCAGUGCAGAAGAGAAGUUGUUAAGCCCACCGCCUGGGAAGUACGGUCGCAAGGCUGAAACUUAAAGGAAUUGGCGGGGGAGCACAGCAACGGGAGGAGCGUGCGGUUU